rfam:Brachypodium distachyon strain Bd21 chromosome 2, whole genome shotgun sequence.
AUAUUACUCUCUCCGUUCCAUAUUAAGUGUCUCAAAUUUGUUCAAACAUGAAUGUAUAUAUACCUAAAAAACGUCUAGAUACAUGUAAUGUUUCGACACUUAGUAUGGGACGGAGGGAGUAGGAU